rnacentral:rRNA from 1 species
UUGUGGCUAAAAAGCUCGUAGUUGGAUCUCGGCGGUCAGAGAGCGGUUCACUUGCUAGUGCUACUGCCCUAUUGACCGUAGUUUUGCCAGAGGUCUCAGGGUGCUCUUAAUCGAGUGUCUUGUGAUGCUGGCAGGUUUACUUUGAAAAAAUUAGAGUGCUCAAAGCAGGCUUUUACGCCUGAAUAUUCGUGCAUGGAAUAAUAGAAUAGGAAGUCGUUUCUAUUUUGUUGGUUUUCGGAAAUCGACUUAAUGAUUAAUAGGGACAGUCGGGGGCAUUUGUAUUCAAACGACAGAGGUGAAAUUCUUGGACCGUUUGAAGACAAACUACUGCGAAAGCAUUUGCCAAGAAUGUUUUCAUUAAUCAAGAACGAAAGUUAGAGGUUCGAAGGUGAUUAGAUACCGCCCUAGUUCUAACCAUAAACGAUGCCAGCUAGCGAUCUGCCGACGUUUUUUUUGUAGACUCGGCAGGAAGCUUCCGGGAAACCAAAGCAUUUGGGUUCCAGGGGAAGUAUGGUUGCAAAGCUGAAACUUAAAGGAAUUGACGGAAGGGCACCACCAGGAGUGGAGCCUGCGGCUUAAUUUGACUCAACACGGGGAAACU